GGGUAAAAUUAGGGUUAGGGAAAAUAGGAUUUUGUGUGCCCACAAGGUUAUUUAAACAGGACUGUGUGUGCCCACAAGGUUAUUUAAACAGGACUGUGUGUGCCCACAAGGUUAUUUAAACAGGACUGUGUGUGCCCACAAGGUUAUUUAAACAGGACUGUGUGUGCCCACAAGGUUAUUUAAACAGGACUGUGUGUGCCCACAAGGUUAUUUAAACAGGACUGUGUGUGCCCACAAGGUUAUUUAAACAGGACUGUGUGUGCCCACAAGGUUAUUUAAACAGGACUGUGUGUGCCCACAAGGUUAUUUAAACAGGACUGUGUGUGCCCACAAGGUUAUUUAAACAGGACUGUGUGUGCCCACAAGGUUAUUUAAACAGGACUGUGUGUGCCCACAAGGUUAUUUAAACAGGACUGUGUGUGCCCACAAGGUUAUUUAAACAGGACUGUGUGUGCCCACAAGGUUAUUUAAACAGGACUGUGUGUGCCCACAAGGUUAUUUAAACAGGACUGUGUGUGCGUGUGCGACUGAGUUCCUCUUUAUGACCAUCUUCAUUACAGUACAAUUGCUAACAUGCAUUGGUCAAAGUAGCCUUGUGGCUAGAGUCAGUGAAAUAGAAGUGUAAUGUGGACCAAACUGUGAAUCAUUUUUCAUUGCUUUCACACAAAAUGCAUUCAAUGACCACAUUCUCCGAAAUCCAUGAACCCUUUUGUCAUUCGUACUCCGCCACCUGCAAAACUAUAUAUUUGCAGCACAUGUUUUCAAAUGCUAACACACUGUUUCCAAAACUGUUAAAACACACAUUCAGAACAGAACGAUGGCAAAUUUCUUGCAUGUCUGCAGUUACCAGAUUGAACUAUAUAGAAAAUCUCAGCAGAAUAUAUAAUCAUUCCAAACACAGCUGAUUGCAAUUUCAGCUGAAAGCCUACACAAGUGUCCUGGAGUUAGUCUCGUUACCAAACAGACAAAAGAGGACGGCUUCGGAAUAAUUUAGUUUGGAAACAUGGAUCAAGGAAGACAGGUUGUUGGGGAGAGAAGAGUGGCAGGGUUGAAUUAGACAUUCCAGAAGACACUUUCCAAGAUGCAUCGCCAGAGAAGACAUAAGAUGUGAUGUUGAUGAGAACUUGUGGCCAAAUGCAAGAGCGAGGGAGAACUAGAACCCUCACAGUACUGUACAGUACGAGUGAUUAUACUAUACAUUUUGUUGAUGGGGUUUUUUGUAAUUAUUAUUGCCGCCCUGGAAUUUCACGAAUUCGUUUUUUUUGUUUCAGCUUUUAAUUUUUCACAAGUAAAUUACUGUAUGUGUCACGUUCUGACCUUUUUAUUUCCUUUGUUUUGUAUUUAUUUAGUUGGUAUGGGUGUGAGUUGGGGUGGGCAGUCUGUUUUGCGUUUCUAUGUUUUUCUAUUUCUGUGUUCGGCUUAGUAUGGUUCUCAAUCAGAGGCAGGUGUCUUUAGUUGUCUCUGAUUGAUAAUCAUACUGAGGUAGCCUGGGUUUCACUGUAGGUUUGUUGGUGUUUGUUUCCUGUGUCAGUGUUUGUGCCACAUGGGACUGUUUCGGUUUGGUUAUUUCACAUAUUAGUUUGUUUUUGUAUUUCAUAGUGUUCAGUGCUUUUCUUAUUAAAGUCGUCAUGAACACUU